GACGAACGCUGGCGGCGUGCUUAACACAUGCAAGUCGAACGGAAAGGCCCUGCUUUUGUGGGGUGCUCGGGCGGCGAACGGGUGAGUAACACGUGAGUAACCUGCCCUUGACUUUGGGAUAACUUCAGGAAACUGGGGCUAAUACCGGAUAGGAGCUCCUGCUGCAUGGGGGGGGUUGGAAAGUUUCGGCGGUUGGGGAUGGACUCGCGGCUUAUCAGCUUGUUGGUGGGGUAGUGGCUUACCAAGGCUUUGACGGGUAGCCGGCCUGAGAGGGUGACCGGCCACAUUGGGACUGAGAUACGGCCCAGACUCCUACGGGAGGCAGCAGUGGGGAAUAUUGCACAAUGGGCGGAAGCCUGAUGCAGCAACGCCGCGUGCGGGAUGACGGCCUUCGGGUUGUAAACCGCUUUCGCCUGUGACGAAGCGUGAGUGACGGUAAUGGGUAAAGAAGCACCGGCUAACUACGUG
rnacentral:rRNA from 1 species